AACAGGAUUAGAUACCCUGGUAGUCCAUGCCGUAAACGAUGUCUACUAGCCGUUGGGGCCUUUGAGGCUUUAGUGGCGCAGCUAACGCGAUAAGUAGACCGCCUGGGGAGUACGGUCGCAAGACUAAAACUCAAAUGAAUUGACGGGGGCCCGCACAAGCGGUGGAGCAUGUGGUUUAAUUCGAUGCAACGCGAAGAACCUUACCUGGCCUUGACAUACUAGAAACUUUCCAGAGAUGGAUUGGUGCCUUCGGGAAUCUAGAUACAGGUGCUGCAUGGCUGUCGCCAGCUCGUGUCGUGAGAUGUUGGGUUAAGUCCCGCAACGAGCGCAACCCUUUUCCUUACUUGCCAGCAUUUCGGAUGGGAACUUUAAGGAUACUGCCAGUGACAAACUGGAGGAAGGCGGGGACGACGUCAAGUCAUCAUGGCCCUUACGGCCAGGGCUACACACGUGCUACAAUGGUCGGUACAAAGGGUUGCUACACAGCGAUGUGAUGCUAAUCUCAAAAAGCCGAUCGUAGUCCGGAUUGGAGUCUGCAACUCGACUCCAUGAAGUCGGAAUCGCUAGUAAUCGCGGAUCAGAAUGCCGCGGUGAAUACGUUCCCGGGCCUUGUACACACCGCCCGUCACACCAUGGGAGUUUGUUGCACCAGAAGUAGGUAGUCUAACCGCAAGGAGGACGCUUACCACGGUGUGGCCGAUGACUGGGGUGAAGUCGUAACAAGGUAACC
rnacentral:rRNA from 1 species